AGAGUUUGAUCCUGGCUCAGAAUGAACGUUGGCGGCGUGGAUUAGGCAUGCAAGUCGUACGCACAGCUUCGGCUGUGAGUGGCGCAAGGGUGAGUAAUGCGAAGGUAACCAACCCUGGUGUUGGGCAUAACCGCGGGAAACUGCGGGUAAUUCCCAGCGACGUCGCGAGAUGGCAUCAUCUUGCGACCAAAGGUGUGAUUCCGCUCUAGGACGGGCCUUCGUGGUAUUAGGUAGUUGGUGAGGUAAUGGCUCACCAAGCCGACGAUGCCUACCGGGUGUGAGAGCACGACCCGGCACACUGGAACUGAGACACUGUCCAGACACCUACGGGUGGCUGCAGUCGAGAAUCUUCGGCAAUGGGCGAAAGCCUGACCGAGCGACGCCGCGUGAGGGAAGAAGGCCUUCGGGUUGUAAACCUCUUUCGUAGAGGAGGAAGGGGCCGUGCAGAGCGGUCCUUGACCUAUCUAGGAAGAAGCUUGGCUAAGUCCGUGCCAGCAGCCGCGGUAAGAC
rnacentral:rRNA from 1 species